rnacentral:rRNA from 1 species
AAUAGAUACCCAGGUAGUCCACGCCGUAAACGAUGAGUGCUAAGUGUUAGAGGGUUUCCGCCCUUUAGUGCUGCAGCUAACGCAUUAAGCACUCCGCCUGGGGAGUACGGUCGCAAGACUGAAACUCAAAGGAAUUGACGGGGGCCCGCACAAGCGGUGGAGCAUGUGGUUUAAUUCGAAGCAACGCGAAGAACCUUACCAGGUCUUGACAUCCUCUGACAACUCUAGAGAUAGGGCGUUCCCCUUCGGGGGACAGAGUGACAGGUGGUGCAUGGUUGUCGUCAGCUCGUGUCGUGAGAUGUUGGGUUAAGUCCCGCAACGAGCGCAACCCUUGAUCUUAGUUGCCAGCAUUUAGUUGGGCACUCUAAGGUGACUGCCGGUGACGAACCGGAGGAAGGUGGGGAUGACGUCAAAUCAUCAUGCCCCUUAUGACCUGGGCUACACACGUGCUACGAUGGAUGGUACAAAGGGCUGCAAGACCGCGAGGUCAAGCCAAUCCCAUAAAACCAUUCUCAGUUCGGA